UACGUAGGGGGCAAGUGUUGUUCGGAAUUACUGGGCGUAAAGGGCGCGUAGGCGGCACGGCAAGUCGGGAGUGAAAGCCCGGGGCUCAACCCCGGAACGUCUUUCGAAACUGCCGAGCUAGAGUGCGGAAGGGGCAACUGGAAUUCCCAGUGUAGCGGUGAAAUGCGUAGAUAUUGGGAAGAACACCUGAGGCGAAGGCGGGUUGCUGGGCCGACACUGACGCUGAGGCGCGAAAGCUAGGGGAGCGAACGGG
rnacentral:rRNA from 1 species